GUCCAAUGCCAGUUGCUUAAAAAUGCCCCGUGGCAGUGAAGGGGGCCAGGGGCCGGGUCAAGUUAAUUGCGAAGCAGUGACACCCCCCACCAUUCCCCACACAGGCUGGCCCCCCAUCGUCAGGCCCAAGGAGCCACACCUGGACCAGACUCCAGGCAAGGGAAGGACAUGGCUGGUGUGGAAAAAGCAGACGCCCAGAGAAGGAACCUCCCAGGGACCAGAGGGAGCAGGUGGCAGGCAGUCCUGGCUGCAGAACUCCUCCCCUUCUCCCGCCCCUCUGGAACGUCCAGAUAGAAGACAGAGAAUCCCCAGCAGGCCGGCUGGCGACAUUUCCUGGAGACAUGGGGAGAGGGAGGGGAAAUGGCUGCCCCCCCCCCCCGGAUCAGCCCCCCGGUGUGCCAAAAGCCCUCACUGA
rnacentral:lncRNA from 1 species